rnacentral:rRNA from 1 species
GGGUGCGAUCAUACCAGCAUUAAUGCACCGGAUCCUAUCAAAACUCCACAGUAACGCGUGCUUAGGCGAGAGUAGUACUAGGAUGGGUGACCUCCUGGGAAGUCCUCAUGUUGCACCAC